AGUCUGUGAUGAAGAUGUAACUGUGCCGGAGGCGAGUCAGUGUUGCGCUCGUCCAUGACGGCGCAAUCAUCCUCUAAGAAGUUCUGAGCUC